GUCCAUUUCACAACUCCUCAUUUUAAUUGACGUAUACAGACAGCAAAAACAAAGCAAUUUCAUUCACUUAGCACAAUUUAUCCUUUUUCCCUUUUCCUCUAGAACAUUUAGGCUUAGUCAAGAUAAGAUUAAAAAAAAGACAUACAUGCAACAAAAUUUUAUAUAGUCCAGUCGAACAUAUUAAUGCAUGCCACUAAAGACACAAAUAAGUGCAACACCGGCGAUAAUCAUGUCUCGUUACACAUUGUGUCUCAAACUACUUUCUCAACAACCUUGCUGGUAAGAAUCAUAAACCGUGCAAUCAUCCAUAGAUAUCAAAGGUCAAAUUUAAAGAAUGAUUUGCGUCAACUAGUAGAUCGACAGCCUUCACGACUUUCCUCAUCAUAUGAGUUUGAUCUUGAAGUGUAGGGAGAUUAGAGAGAAGUCAAAACAUUUCAGAUCCUGCGAUGACCCAAAA
rnacentral:lncRNA from 1 species